rnacentral:rRNA from 1 species
UACGUAGGUGGCAAGCGUUGUCCGGAUUUACUGGGCGUAAAGAGCGCGCAGGCGGUCGUUCAAGUCGCGUGUGAAAGCCCCCGGCUCAACUGGGGAGGGUCACGCGAUACUGAUCGACUCGAAGGCAGGAGAGGGUAGUGGAAUUCCCGGUGUAGUGGUGAAAUUCGUAGAUAUUGGGAAGAACACCGAUGGCGAAGGCAGCCAUCUGGACCGACACUGACGCUGAGGCGCGAAAGCGUGGGGAGCAAACAGG